CCAAAUCUUAACUUGACAGAAGUAAACGCAGUGAUAGGGAUCAGCGCACUCUAAGGUAAGGACCCAAGACUAUCCAGAUUCUGUGCUAUUCUCUCAGAUUUUUUUUACCAGCUGCCUACUCACUCCAGCCCUCCAGUCACUGGCUGGCCUUGUUUGAUCCCAGCUGCCUGGGGGAAUGCAGGAAUUUCCACCAGGCGUUAAGAUCACCCACGGCAAGAGUUAAUGCGGAAGAAGUACUUGUUAGCUCAGAAUGAGGAAGACACCAGAUGUGGGACACCAUAGGCUGGCCCAGCCCUCACCUACAUUGCGUCUAGAGUUUCCUCCAGAGCUAUCGUCAGUUGUACCUGUCAACCUGAAAAGGCUGAGGGAUGUGCAGACUGCUGACUGAACAUUGUUUUGGGGCAUUUUCAAAGGUGUUCCAAGUGCACAUCGGCAUUUGAAUCGGCAUGGCGAGUUAGGAUGGACUUCUCUGGUGUCGGUGAGCGUCCUCCAAUCCUUCGAGUCCUGAGGAGCAAAGGGACACAGAAGAACAAAUGUUCUCUCUUCAUGAGCUCUUAAUUUCAGCUGUCCUGGUCUUGAACAGAUUGCUUCUGGCUCUCAGGCCUUCAAACUAAGGCUGGACAGCACCACAGCGUUCCUGGCUCUGUAGAUGGUAGGGGCUUCUUAGCCUCCAGAACCUAACACUAGCUGAUCUCUGUAAUAAAUCCUGUUAUGGAUAAA
rnacentral:sRNA from 1 species